rnacentral:rRNA from 1 species
AACGAACGCUGGCGGCAGGCUCAACACAUGCAAGUCGAGCGCCCCGCAAGGGGAGCGGCAGACGGGUGAGUAACGCGUGGGAAUCUACCCAUCUCUACGGAAUAACGCAUGGAAACGUGUGCUAAUACCGUAUACGUCCUUCGGGAGAAAGAUUUAUCGGAGAUGGAUGAGCCCGCGUUGGAUUAGCUAGUUGGUGGGGUAAAGGCCUACCAAGGCGACGAUCCAUAGCUGGUCUGGGAGGAUGAUCAGCCACACUGGGACUGAGACACGGCCCAGACUCCUACGGGAGGCAGCAGUGGGGAAUAUUGGACAAUGGGCGCAAGCCUGAUCCAGCCAGGCCGCGUGAGUGAUGAAGGCCCUAGGGUUGUAAAGCUCUUUCACCGGUGAAGAUAAUGACGGUAACCGGAGAAGAAGCCCCGGCUAACUUCGUGCCAGCAGCCGCCGUAAUAC